UAACGAAAGCACCAAUCCCGACCCGAUGAGAAGCAUUGGAAGGAAUAGUGUGGGGAGUGUGUGGAAUCCAGUAAACCAGCAUCAGCAUCAACGAAACGGGCUAGUUGUAUUGAUAGUUUCAUCCAAACACCUUUCUUCCCCUUCACCAAAAAAAAAAAAAAAAAAAAAAAAAAAAA